rnacentral:lncRNA from 1 species
CAGGGAUGAUGUGUCUCUGAAGAACUUUGCCAAGUACUUUCUCCAUCAAUCUCAUGAGAAGAGAGAACAUGCUGAGAAACUGAUGAAGCUGCAGAACCAACGAGGUGGACGAAUCUUCCUGCAGGAUAUAAAGAAACCAGACCGUGAUGACUGGGAGAGCGGGCUGAACGUGAUGGAGUGUGCACUGCACUUGGAAAAAGAGUGUGAAUCAGUCACUACUGGAACUUCACAAACUGGCUACUGACAAGAAUGAUCCCCACUUAUGUGGCUUAAUUGAGACGCAUUACCUGAAUGAGCAGGUCAAAUGCAUUAAAGAACUGGGUGACCACGUGACCAACUUACGCAAGAUGGGAGCCCCUGAAUCUGGCAUGGCAGAAUAUCUCUUUGAGGAGCACAUCCUGGGACACAGUGAUGAGAGCUAAGCUGACGUCCCCAAGGCCAUGAGACUUUACUGGUCACUGAGGCAGUGCAUGCAUGUCAGGCUGCCUUUAUCUUUUCUAUAAGUUGCACCAAAACAUCUGCUUAAGUUCUUUAAUUUGUACCAUUUCUUCAAAUAAAGAAUUUUGGUACCCCCCAAAAAAAGAAU